rnacentral:rRNA from 1 species
GACGAACGCUGGCGGCGUGCUUAACACAUGCAAGUCGAACGAAGAGCGAUGGAAGCUUGCUUCUAUCCAUCUUAGUGGCGAACGGGUGAGUAACGCGUAAUCAACCUGCCCUUCUGGGGGGGACAACAGUUGGUAACGACUGCUAAUACUGCAUACGAUCUAAUCUCGGCAUCGAGGAUAGAUGAAAGGUGGCCUGUACAUGUAAGCUAUCACUUAAGGAUGGGGUUGCGGCUGAUUAGCUAGUUGGAGGGGUAACGGCGCACCAAGGCGAUGAUCAGUAGCCGGUCUGAGAGGAUGAGCAGCCAGAUUGGGACGGAGACACGGCCCAGACGGCUACGGGAGGCAGCAGUAGUGAAUCUUCCGCAAGGGACGAGAGACUGACGGAGCAACGCCGCGUGAGUGAGGACGACCUUCGGGUUGGAAAGCUCGGUUAAUCGGGACGAAAGGCCUUCUUGCGAAGAGUGAGAAGGAUUGACGGUACCGGAAUAGAAAGCCACGGCUAACUACGUG